AGCAGUAGCCGCGGGAACACAGAGGGUGCGAGCGUUAAUCGGAUUUACUGGGCGUAAAGCGUGCGUAGGCGGCUAAUUGAGUCGGAUGUGAAAUCCCCGAGCUUAACUUGGGAAUUGCAUUCGAUACUGGUUAGCUAGAGUGUGGGAGAGGAUGGUAGAAUUCCAGGUGUAGCGGUGAAAUGCGUAGAGAUCUGGAGGAAUACCGAUGGCGAAGGCAGCCAUCUGGCCUAAUACUGACGCUGAGGUACGAAAGCAUGGGGAGCAAACAGGAUUAGAUACCCCAGUAGUCCCUGUCUCUUAUAU
rnacentral:rRNA from 1 species